rnacentral:lncRNA from 1 species
UUUGCUUUUAAUUUCUUCUUUUCUAAUGAUACCUCCUUCAUCCUUUUGGAGUUUUAAUCCAAGCUUCCAAAUAUCAGAAAUGUAGCUUUCAUUCAGGAACUGAUCAGCAAAGUAAGGCCAACACAAGAAGGCACCCCAUUGCUUACACCUUCCAUGGUGGAAUUCCACCCACAGUGACUUAUAAAGCAUGCAAUGGAAGAAUGACCCAAAACUGCUGCUUGUGGUGCCCAACUUACUAUCCUACAUUGAUUGCCAACUCUUUCAUUAAACCCUUUAGGGUAGUUAUGGUGUUUUCCUUUUGUAAUAUCUUCUCUUACAACCCAAAGGAAUGGUCUUUCGGUGAUUUCAAGGCCCAAAGCUAACUCUUGAAACUGGAUUUGGUCAAAAACUGUGAAACUACCAAAUGCGACAUAUAUGACUGAACCAGGUGACUGUUGAUCGAGCCACUGCAAACAAGUUGGAUCCUCAAGCCAAAAAAUUCCCCGACAAGGUUUCCGAGCCGAUUGGUGGCUAAAAAUGGGCCUAUGGGUAAGGCUUUGGGAACUAAGUUGAACCCUUGAAGCUCUAAUUCCAAACUUGAGUUGCAAAGUACCCAGUCUGUUGUUUCAACAACUUUGUACUUCAUAAGUUGAAAAUCAAACAUAAAUUUUGGGGUUGAAGGAGAGUCAUCAAUGUUAAGCCAUACCAAAUUCAUUGGGUGUAUAGAAAGCGUCAUUGGUGACAACUGAAUCAUCUUAUGUUUCAUGAGUGGAGUGCCUGCAAAACAGAUUUAAAUAAUUGAAGAUAACGUUGUUGAAAGUGUUUUUUAAGCUAUAAGUAAUGUUAAACUGGCAGUUUCAAAAGUAAGAAAAUGCUUUUGAAUCCUUGGAAAAAACAGUUUUCAAGCAAGUCACAUUUUUAACCAUUAUUUAUAAUUUAAUGUGUUUUAUGUACUAAUUAUAUAGGAUAUACAAUUAUUUUUCUAUUGAAACUUAUUUUAAAUAUAUACUAUUAUAUAGUUAAUUUUUUAUAGUUAUAUUUUAAUGAUAUUUAAAAUAUAGAUUAUAUAUUUAAAUUAAAUUUUAUAAAUAAUUAAUAUGAAUUGCUUACAAAUAUUUAAAAUUUAUAUUGCAUAUAUCAAAAUAUUAAUAAUGAGUUAUGAUAAAAAAUUUAUAUUUUAUUUUAAUAUCAUAAUAAUGAGUUUUAAUAUUAUUCAAAUGCAUAUUUUUAUUUCACCACAUCAUGUUUAAAAUAAACGUAUUAUUUCUUAAAAAUAUUUGUUAAUAAUAAUACUAAACAGUUAAAUUAAAGGUUUAAAAAUAUUUUUAAUUCAAAAGUUACGAGAAAUUAGCCUAAGUCAAAUCAAAUUAGAUCUCACACGAGAAAAAAAACAUAUAUUUUCUCUUAUUCAUAGGUACUGCACUGCUAAGUAGUUAAAGCAAAACAGGGUACGUCUUACCAUUUUCAUCUAUCAGUCCAUCAUCAAUAAGUUUGGGGACCCUAAGCAACACCGCCAGUUGAAGCACCGCAGUCGGCCAAAAGCCCACCGUAGGAAUCCCCAACUCCGCCGCAACAUCAAGAGCCAACCCCAUGCUAAUAUCAGCUAAAACACAUGAAAUCUUAUCAUCAUCUGAUCCAUUAACCUUAUGAAUGAGCUCAUUGAGUUGAGUAGGCAUAACCUGGCAUAAACUUUCAGUUAACUUCCCUAACUGAUUCCUAUCUUCCCCAUCUUCUAGUCCAUCGGGGACUGAAAGUAGAUGAAGUAAGCCAUUUUCAUCCACCUUCUCGCCGAAUGCAUCCAAGACCCUCUUGUGAUUAAACACUGUGUUAACAAAGCUGAUUUUGAUGCCUUGUUUGGCUAAGUUUUGGGAGAGUUCCAUGAGAGGAAUAACAUGGCCUUGGGCUGGAUAAGGGAUUACCACAACGUGUGGUUUCCCCAUUUCCGUUUGUGCUUUUGGAGAAUUGAGGGCUCACACUUUGAUUAUUUAUAGCAACCAUUUCGGGCCAAUUUACGUUUCCAAUGCCAUCCUAUCUUCUAAAGAAAAUAAAAAUAUAAUAAUAACGUGGUGUCACGUGAUUUAAUUAUGGUGCAUCUUCUGUCUUGUAAUCUCGAUUUUUCAUUCUCCCACUACAACAAAAUCAAGCUUACGAGCACACCUUUUUUUUUACUUAGUAUUCAUUACUAAUAGCUACUAAAAAUGAUUUUAAUUGUAUUUUUUAAUUUUUUGGUCAUUUACCUUUAUUUUUUAAUCUUUUUUUUAACAAUUUUAAUGAAAGUGAAGUUAAAAUAAUUAACGGGAAUAAUGUGAAAUUUCAUAUGCGAAAUAUUUUUAAUGAGAUGUAAUUUAUUACUUAGAUAAUUCAAUAAGAUAGUUGAAGGUGAAAUAAAAAUACAUUAAAUUAAAAAAUAACUCUUAAUUUAAAGAAAAUAAUGUAAUUAUCUAAAAAUAUAUUACUCAGUAGAAAAUUUUCUCAAUAAACAAACAUAUGAAAGAUUGAAACCUUAAAUUUAUUCAUUAAAUCUCGUGAAUUAAUUAAUUAAAUAUGUUAAAAUGUAGUUGAAAAUAAAUCAAAGGUUGAUGGAAAAAAAACUCAAAAAUACAAUUAGGGCCAUUUUGACAAAACAUAUAAAUAUUAGUGACCAAAUUUAUCAUUAAGCCUUACUCAUAUACGUGCCAUACAUAUAUUUAACAUAUAUUGUAUUAUAUUAUAGUAUAAAAAUUAAUAAAUCUUCGAAUUAUUUAUAUAUGUAACAUAUAUUAUAAUAUGAAUUGUUAAUAUGAAACUACCUUACACAUGAUUUGCUUGUUAUAUUAUAUAAUGAUAUAUUAUAUUACGAAGAAUAAAAAUUACAUUAUAUGUAUUACUUAUAAUUAAUUAUAUGCAUAUAAAUACUAUAAGCAUGAUAACAUAAUAUGAAUUAUUAAUACUUUGACUUUAUUAUAAUUAUAUUCAUCUAAUUAUUAGUGUGUUUUUUUUGUUACUUAACUAUGAAAAGUUACAAAAUGGUUACUCAAAAUUUCAACUUUUUUUUCUUUUUUGGGCACCCAAUUAUUAAUUGAAAUUUUCUUUUAUGAUCACCGGCCAUUAAAUUAGUAAUCGAAAAAUAACUUAGCAGUUUUUAAAAUUGGCAUAAUAGUAACAUUAACCUUCAACAUUUAUACAUUGUGUUAAUUUAGUCUUGAUUCUAAAAAAAAAAAUUAACCCUCGACAUUUGCACAUCAUAUAAAUUGGUUUUUUUUUAAAUUUUACUUUUUAUUUAUAAUGUUGAUGGUUAAUUUUAAAAGAAUAAGAAAAGUUAAAAAUGAUUAUGUUGAAUUUUCAAAUGUUUCCUUUUUGAUAUAUUUCCUAUCAAAUUUACUUGAUAGAUUUGUUUUUUCUUUUAGCUCUUUAGGUGGAAGGGAAACAAAAAAAAAAGGCAAAAAAAGAAAAGAAAAGAGGAGAGAUCAAAUUACACAAUAUGUAAAUUUUGAGGGUUAAUCUUUGUUUAUAAUUAAGACUAAAUUGACACAAGUUAUAAAUGUUGAAGGUUAAAGCUAUUAUUAUGUCAAUUUUAAAAGCUAUCAUGUUAAUUUUCUAUCAAUCAUUUACGACUGUUGACCAUAAAGGAAAAACUCAAAUAGUUAAGUGAUAAUUUUGUAACUUUUCUUUCAUAGUUAAGAGCCAAAAAAAACUUACCUAUAGUCAGUGGCGGAUCUUUGGACUAAGUUUUGAGAUUAUUAAAAUUUUCAAAAAUUUUAAUGAGAUUUUUUUAAAAAUUAACGGUUUAAUUAAAAUUUUUAAAAUUUUUGUGAAAUUAAUGAGAAUUUUUAAAUGUUUUAAGUGGGCUUUUUAAAAUAAAUUUCAAAAAAAUUAAAAAAUAUAAUGAGAAUUUUUUAAAAUUUGGGGAGCUUACUUUUUUUUACUUUAAAAGAGAAAUAAAAUUUUAAAAAAUAAAUAAUAAUUUCUAAAAUUUUAAGAGUGCCUGUAAUUGUCCGAUUUUAGGCCUAGUCGGAACAGUGGUUUCGGUACCACAAAUCUGACGAGAAAAAAAAAUGUAAUGGCCUGAAUUUUCAGAGGUGUCGGAACGGUGAUUCGAGAUCACUAAAUUCGACAAAUGGGUAGAAAAUAUUAUUAAUUUAGUAAGUAUAAGUUAAAUGUGAAGUUAGGAAAAUUUUUGAAAUAGUGAAUAGUGCACUAGAAAUAAAUAUUAAAAUAAUUAGAAUCGAAAUGAGGUAUCAAGACCUCGGGGAUUUUAAACUGAGCCAUAAAUAUUUUUAUAAAUAUUUAUGGAGUGUUAAAAAGUUAGUAUUAAAGUUUCGGUAAGAAAUUUUAAAGUUCCGAUAAUUAAUUGAACAAAAAAGACUAAAUUGUAACAAAUGCAAAAUUUUGGGAAAUGAUUAAAUAGCUUAAAUGAUAAAAGGAAGAGGGCUUAAAAGGCAAAUAGACCCAAGGUCUAUUUGGGCUGGACGGCAGAGGCAUGAAAUCAGCAAGAAAGUAAGGAGAAUUAAGGGCAAAAUUGCAAAAUUGCAAAAUUUGCUUAAUAAAGUUAGGACCCAAGUGGAAUUAUCUAGAUUUCUCUUCAUUUUUCUGAAUUCUCAUCAGCAAAAACACCAUGGAAGGGCUUCUUCAAGCUGGUUCUUCAUAUUUUUACUACAAGUAAGUUCAAUUCUUUACUAUUUCUUGAAAUUUUUGUAUUUUUAUGACUUUUACAACUAGGCCCACUUGUUAAAUUCAUUAGUUUUUGAUUUUAUGAAAGAAGUUGAAAGUUGAUAUGAAUAUGUGCUGGAAUUAUAUGAUGAUUUAUCAUGAAAUUAGAGCUUUAAAUUGUUCAUAUGCUGAUUUUAUUGAAAGAAUUGAAUAGAAAGUGAAUGUUUGGGACCUAAUAGUAAAAGAGUUUGAAGAUAGAGUUAUAUGUGGAAAUUCUGGAUUUAAAUAGUUGAGUAACAACUUAUAAUGUCUAGGUGAAGUAUUAAUUGAGAAAAUUAGAUUAAUUGAGGGGUUAAUUGAGAAAGGACCGAAUUGUAUAAACUGUGAAAUUUGGGGCAAAAUGGAAAUCAACAUUUUGCACUAAAGCAGUUUUGGACAGUAGUAGUGUAACUUUGAAAAAUCACCAAAAAUUGUAGAGAUUGAAUUAGAGGAUUAAUAAAAUAUGAAACUAAAGCUUAUUGAGUCUAGUUUCUUAUAAAAGAAAUGGUGUGAGCAAUGGAAUUGUAAAUCAUGAGAUAUAAUAGAUUUUGUGAGACAAGGUCAGAAUGAAUUCGGGUUCCCCUGUUCUGACUUUGGAAAAUCAUUAAAAAUCGUACAAAAAUUAUUAUGAGUUAUAAUUUAUAUGGUUAGUGAUACGACCCUGCCCUGGAAACAUUUCUUGGCUCGACUCACGAGCGAGGCUCGUUAUUCUCACAAGCUUGUCCCAGCUCAAUUUGGGCGGAUUCUAGCUUAUGGAGCUAGAAUGCAAUUUAUUAAGUUUGCAUUUAGAUGAUGUAAUAAAUAAGUUGCUGAUUAGUUAAUUAAAUAAGUUAAUUAAUUUGUUUAAAAAUCUGGACAUUUUUAUUUUAAUGUGUCUUAGUUUAUUACCUAUUAAAUAGAUGUCUAAUAGUUAAUUAAGUGUGUCUAAAUUUAAGACAAAUUUAAUUCAUGUUGUCAAUUAAUUUUUCCAGACGAAUUUAAUGUGCAGGAUAUUGUGUACUUUGGACGAAUUUAAUGCUGUUAAUUAAUGUGUUUUGCUGUGUUGUUUAAUGCUGUUGUUGUUUAAAUAUAGAAUGUUAAACAUGUCAUGGUUCAGCCGAAUUAAUGUGUGAGAUUUAAGCUAAGUAAAUUUGUUGAAUUUGCUAGGACAAUGUACAUGGACGGCAAAGAAGAGGUGGACAACAUCAUGCAUAAUUUGUGGAACAAAUUAAGGAAGCAUUUGACCAACAUCAUGCAUAAUUCAUGGAAGAAUUUGAGGAAGCAUUUGACCAACAUCAUGCAUAAUUCAUGGAAGAAUUUGAGGAAGCAUUUGGCCAACAUCAUGCAUAAUUCAUGGAAGAAUUUGAGGAAGCAUUUGACUAACAUCAUGCAUAAUUCAUGGAAGAAUUUAAGAAAGCAUUUGGCCAACAUCAUGCAUAAUUUAAGGAACAAAUUGAGGAAGCACCACGGCCGAAUUUGGCUUCCAAUUUUACCCAUUCGGCUACCCUUUUGUUUUGCCUAUAAAUAUGUGUUAAAUUUCAUUGUAAGGGGAGAAGAACCUUGAAUUAAUGUUUUUACAUUUUGUGAGAUUGUUUACAACUCUCAUUGUUCUCCAAAGACUCGUUUGACUUAUCAAGUAACCCUUGUGGCGUCAACCCAUUCUUCUUAUCCGAACUUAUCACUUGCAUCCAAAGUGUGGCGUUCAAGUUAUACCGAGGUUCCUAUCAUCUUUGAUAGUGGGUUAAGGUUCCAUUUUAUUCGUUUUCCAUCCAUACAACAUUUAACCUUUCCUAAGUAUUCGUAUGAGUCCCGGGUUAACACACUUAUAUUGUGUUAGUUCAACUUGAAUACUUGGUUUUCAUUCACCUAUCAUCCUCAAUACACUUCAUAACCCCUUUUGAACUAAAUUUGAGCCUUUAUCCCUUCUUUCUUAACCUAUCUUCGACAAACCUUGAUAUUACUCCAAUUCACGAUCGGGUACAUCAACGACUCGACUCUCAUCACCGAGGCCGGGGCGUAUCAUCUGGUAUCAGAGCUAGCCGAAUCGGAGUAAGAAUCAUCAUCUUUGAUAUUAUGGUUUUGUAAAAAAAAAAAAAGAGUCUGGAAACCCUUCAACAAUUUUUUUUGAAUCAUAAUCUACACUCCUUUAUACCCCUUUGAGUGAAUUUUCACGUUUUCAAAAAAAAAAUUAUCCAAUUUAUUAUUUUUUCUUUCUUCUUUUGUAUUCGGUAUUAAAAAAAAGAGAAAUUCAAAAAAAAAAUUCGGAAUUAAAAAAAAGUGAUUGAAAUUCAUUUUAAGUUUUGUUUGAUAGCCUACCAUUUCCGACAUCAUUGCCCAUCAAGCCAACUCAAUUUUCUAAGCCGACGACAAACGGUAUUGAUUCGUCUAUCUAGUUUGUGGAGAACUUCGAGAGGCGAAAAUCGAGUGGAAAAAGGCACGAGUGGUGAGUACAUUAGAGCGAGCAAAAGCCAUUAAACAAGUGUAAACACGAGUGGAGUGUUAUCCAAUUUUCUUUGUGAGUGAAACGUGAGAUUUUUUUGUGGUGAGGUAUUUACUUUCUAUUUUAUUUUAAACAUUUUUUUAGCAAAAAAAAAUCAUGUCACAAGAAUUUUCUGAAUCAGAUUUCCAAUAUUUGAAGCAAGAGAUAUGUAGAAUGGUGAAAUCAAAUUUUGAUAAAUUGCAUGAUCGAUUGGAUCGAGUGGAGGAAAGAGCCAGACGAAAACAAAAUCUACCAAAUCGAGAAAUGGAGUCGAGAUCAUUGCGGCGAUACGCGUCCAAAGACUACUCGUUAAGAGAUUCUUAUCGGGAUUCCUAUUCGUCAAGGAAUUCAAGACGCGACAGCCUAGAGCUUGCAACUUCUCGACAUGACAAACGAGAGAGGACGAGUUAUUCAUCGUAUGAUUCAAAGAAUUCCUUCCCGGAGGAUUGUUCCCGAAGAAAUGGACGAGAAGCCUAUGAAAAUAUUUUCUCUUCCUUUGGGGCAAAUGAUUAUAUUUUUGAUUCUUUCGUGUCGACUGCACAUUGUAAUGAAAUCGAAAAAGUGAGAGAAAAAGAAAAUGAAGAGAAAGAAUUCGAAAAAGAAAUUGAGAUUGUACAAGAGUGCGAGCAAGAAAAAGAAAAUGAAAGAAAUGAAAAAGAGAUUGAAAAAGAAAAAGAAAUCAAAAAAGAGAGUGAGGUCGAAAAUAAAGUUGAAAACGAGAGAGGAAAUGAAAAGAGAAAAAAAGAAGUUGAGAUUAAAAAAGAAACGAGCGAAAAAGAGACAAAUGAACUAGAAAAAGUGAGGAGCAUUUCAACUAAUCCAUAUGAAACUUGUUCUUGUUCUGUUUCUGCUUUUCAGGUAUCCAAAAGGCCGAGUGACGAUAAUUUACAACUCCAAUACCUUUCCAAGGAGAGAAGGUUCACCUUGGUUGAAAAAGGUAACGUUCUCAACUAUCUUAGUUCGCCUAUGCCAAAAGAGGAGCGAGGUAUGAGUUUUGAAAUUCUUAAAGCACCUCUGUUUUAUUCGAUUGUUGAUGGAAACCUUGUUGAUGAAUUGUCCUUUAGAAGUGAUCUGAACUUUGAUGUGGUUACUUGCCAUCCUUUGAUUGAUGAUAAUACAUUUGCGCGGAAUGAUGGCAAGAAGAAUAACGCUUUUGGAAAUUGCGAUGCUGAUGAGUUUGUUAGUAGAAUAAUAAUUAUUCGGCAUUUGCAAGAUAAAAAGACAUAUAAGCCAUUCCAUCGGCUUGAUUUGGGUAAAAAUAUGCACUCAUUGAUCUUUUGUGAGAAACUACUUUGUAUAAACAAGAAUGUGCGUAUGAGAUUUGAGACGUAUGAAUGCUUGAAAAAUGCAUGUCUUUGAUUUGUUUGUUUGAUAUGACGAUGACAUGUAAAAUGGUUAGUGCACUUAAAGUUGAAGAUGGUGCCUCAAAUCUGCUUUGUUAUCCAAAUUCUGUAUUUUUGAGCAAAAUUGACUGACUGAAAUUUAGAUUACAUGAUCAUUUGGAUGAGUUCUCGAUGUAUUUUGAUUAUAAUUCCAAUUUGAUUAUGAUGCAUGCUCUAUUGUCGAGUAUGGAGAUCCAUUUUGAAAAGGUUAAUUCAAGCAAGGAAUUUCGACUACUCUACAUUGCCGAGGAGAGAAGGUUUGUGUUGACCGAACAAGGUAAAACUGAUCUUUGUUUUCCUACUUUUAAAGGUAAGCCUCAUGAACUUUUUGAAACAUCGUUGUACUCUUUAGGUGGUGAUAAAGAUAGUGUUGUUGAUUUGACUCGUUAUUCACAUGCUGGUUAUGACUUGUGGAAACAAUUUGAGACAUUUGAAUGCCUUAGAACAUGUUCAUUUUUGUUUCGAAUAAUUGACGAGGCAUUAGCGAGUAAAUUAAUUUGUUUGCAUGAUUGUCAACAUGUUGCUUUGAAUCUGUCCACUCGCAUGGAAUUUUCUUGUUCUAUUCUGCUUGCAUAUGGAUUACAAAUUUAUCUGAAACACUUUUUGCUAAUUCAUGGUUAUUCCUUUCAGUUGUUCCAAUUCCAAUCCGUCCCAUUCGACCGAGGAAAGCUGAGUAAAAGUUGCUGUGUUCGAGUGAACCAAUGGCUCGACUUGAGGACAAGUCGUUCUAAAGAAGGGGGGAUGAUACGACCCUGCCAUGGAAACAUUUCUUGGCUCAACUCACGAGCGAGGCUCGUUAUUCUCACAAGCUCGUCCCAGCUCAAUUUGGGCGGAUUCUAGCUUAUGGAGCUAGAAUGCAAUUUAUUAAGUUUGCAUUUAGAUGAUGGAAUAAAUAAGUUGCUGAUUAGUUAAUUAAAUAAGUUAAUUAAUUUGUUUAAAAAUCUGGACAUUUUUAUUUUAAUGUGUCUUAGUUUAUUACCUAUUAAAUAGAUGUCUAAUAGUUAAUUAAGUGUGUCUAAAUUUAAGACAAAUUUAAUUCAUGUUGUCAAUUAAUUUUUCCAGACGAAUUUAAUGUGCAGGAUAUUGUGUACUUUGGACGAAUUUAAUGCUAUUAAUUAAUGUGUUUUGCUGCUGUUGUUUAAAUGCAGAAUGUUAAACAUGUCAUGGUUCAGCCGAAUUAAUGUGUGAGAUUUAAGCUAAGUAAAUUUGUUGAAUUUGCUAGGACAAUGUACAUGGACGGCAAAGAAGAGGUGGACAACAUCAUGCAUAAUUUGUGGAACAAAUUAAGGAAGCAUUUGACCAACAUCAUGCAUAAUUCAUGGAAGAAUUUGAAGAAGCAUUUGACCAACAUCAUGCAUAAUUCAUGGAAGAAUUUGAGGAAGCAUUUGGCCAACAUCAUGCAUAAUUCAUGGAAGAAUUUGAGGAAGCAUUUGACCAACAUCAUGCAUAAUUCAUGGAAGAAUUUAAGGAAGCAUUUGGCCAACAUCAUGCAUAAUUUAAGGAACAAAUUGAGGAAGCACCAUGGCCGGAUUUGGCUUCCAAUUUUACCCAUUCGGCUACCCUUUUGUUUUGCCUAUAAAUAUGUGUUAAAUUUCAUUGUAAGGGGAGAAGAACCUUGAAUUAAUGUUUUUACAUUUUGUGAGAUUGUUUACAACUCUCAUUGUUCUCCAAAGACUCGUUUGACUUAUCAAGUAACCCUUGUGGCGUCAACCCAUUCUUCUUAUCCGAACUUAUCACUUUGCAUCCAAAGUGUGGCGUUCAAGUUAUACCGAGGUUCCUAUCAUCUUUGAUAGUGGGUCAAGGUUCCAUUUUAUUCGUUUUCCAUCCAUACAACAUUUAACCUUUCCUAAGUAUUCGUAUAAGUCCCGGGUUAACACACUUAUAUUGUGUUGGUUCAACUUGAAUACUUGGUUUUCAUUCACCUAUCAUCCUCAAUACACUUCAUAACCCCUUUUGAACUAAAUUUGAGCCUUUAUCCCUUCUUUCUUAACCUAUCUUCGACAAACCUUGAUAUUACUCCAAUUCACGAUCGGGUACAUCAACGACUCGACUCUCAUCACCGAGGCCGGGGCGUAUCAUCUGGUAUCAGAGCUAGCCGAAUCGGAGUAAGAAUCAUCAUCUUUGAUAUUAUGGUUUUGUAAAAAAAAAGAGUCUGGAAACCCUUCAACAAUUUUUUUGAAUCAUAAUCUACACUCCUUUAUACCCCUUUGAGUGAAUUUUCACGUUUUCAAAAAAAAAAUUAUCCAAUUUAUUAUUUUUUCUUUCUUCUUUUGUAUUCGGUAUUAAAAAAAAAAGAGAAAUUCAAAAAAAAAAUUCGAAAUUAAAAAAAAGUGAUUGAAAUUCAUUUGAAGUUUUGUUUGAUAGCCUACCAUUUCCGACAUCAUUGCCCAUCAAGCCAACUCAAUUUUCUAAGCCGACGACAAACGGUAUUGAUUCGUCUAUCUAGUUUGUGGAGAACUUCGAGAGGCGAAAAUCGAGUGGAAAAAGGCACGAGUGGUGAGUACAUUAGAGCGAGCAAAAGCCAUUAAACAAGUGUAAACACGAGUGGAGUGUUAUCCAAUUUUCUUUGUGAGUGAAAUGUGAGAUUUUUUUUGUGGUGAGGUAUUUACUUUCUAUUUUAUUUUAAUCAUUUUUUUAGCAAAAAAAAAUCAUGUCACAAGAAUUUUCCGAAUCAGAUUUCCAAUAUUUGAAGCAAGAGAUACGUAGAAUGGUGAAAUCAAAUUUUGAUAAAUUGCAUGAUCGAUUGGAUCGAGUGGAGGAAAGAGCCAGACGAAAACAAAAUCUACCAAAUCAAGAAAUGGAGUCGAGAUCAUUGCGGCGAUACGCGUCCAAAGACUACUCGUUAAGAGAUUCUUAUCGGGAUUCCUAUUCGUCAAGGAAUUCAAGACGCGACAGCCUAGAGCUUGCAACUUCUCGACAUGACAAACGAGAGAGGACGAGUUAUUCAUCGUAUGAUUCAAAGAAGUCCUUCCCGGAGGAUUGUUCCCGAAGAAAUGGACGAGAAGCCUAUGAAAAUAUUUUCUCUUCCUUUGGGGAAAAUGAUUAUAUUUUUGAUUCUUUCGUGUCGACUGCACAUUGUAAUGAAAUCGAAAAAGUGAGAGAAAAAGAAAAUGAAGAGAAAGAAUUCGAAAAAGAAAUUGAGAUUGUACAAGAGUGCGAGCAAGAAAAAGAAAAUGAAAGAAAUGAAAAAGAGAUUGAAAAAGAAAAAGAAAUCAAAAAAGAGAGUGAGGUCGAAAAUAAAAUUGAAAACGAGAGAGGAAAUGAAAAGAGAAAAAAAGAAGUUGAGAUUAAAAAAGAAACGAGCGAAAAAGAGACAAAUGAACUAGAAAAAGUGAGGAGCAUUUCAACUAAUCCAUAUGAAACUUGUUCUUGUUCUGUUUCUGCUUUUCAGGUAUCCAAAAGGCCGAGUGAUGAUAAUUUACAACUCCAAUACCUUUCCAAGGAGAGAAGGUUCACCUUGGUUGAAAAAGGUAACGUUCUCAACUAUCUUAGUUCGCCUAUGCCAAAAGAGGAGCGAGGUAUGAGUUUUGAAAUUCUUAAAGCACCUCUGUUUUAUUCGAUUGUUGAUGGAAACCUUGUUGAUGAAUUGUCCUUUAGAAGUGAUCUGAACUUUGAUGUGGUUACUUGCCAUCCUUUGAUUGAUGAUAAUACAUUUGCGCGGAAUGAUGGCAAGAAGAAUAACGCUUUUGGAAAUUGCGAUGCUGAUGAGUUUGUUAGUAGAAUAAUAAUUAUUCGGCAUUUGCAAGAUAAAAAGACAUAUAAGCCAUUCCAUCGGCUUGAUUUGGGUAAAAAUAUGCACUCAUUGAUCUUUUGUGAGAAACUACUUUGUAUAAACAAGAAUGUGCGUAUGAGAUUUGAGACGUAUGAAUGCUUGAAAAAUGCAUGUCUUUGAUUUGUUUGUUUGAUAUGACGAUGACAUGUAAAAUGGUUAGUGCGCUUAAAGUUGAAGAUGGUGCCUCAAAUCUGCUUUGUUAUCCAAAUUCUGCAUUUUUGAGCAAAAUUGACUGACUGAAAUUUAGAUUACAUGAUCAUUUGGAUGAGUUCUCGAUGUAUUUUGAUUAUAAUUCCAAUUUGAUUAUGAUGCAUGCUCUAUUGUCGAGUAUGGAGAUCCAUUUUGAAAAGGUUAAUUCAAGCAAGGAAUUUCGACUACUCUACAUUGCCGAGGAGAGAAUGUUUGUGUUGACCGAACAAGGUAAAACUGAUCUUUGUUUUCCUACUUUUAAAGGUAAGCCUCAUGAACUUUUUGAAACAUCGUUGUACUCUUUAGGUGGUGAUAAAGAUAGUGUUGUUGAUUUGACUCGUUAUUCACAUGCUGGUUAUGACUUGUGGAAACAAUUUGAGACAUUUGAAUGCCUUAGAACAUGUUCAUUUUUGUUUCGAAUAAUUGACGAGGCAUUAGCGAGUAAAUUAAUUUGUUUGCAUGAUUGUCAACAUGUUGCUUUGAAUCUGUCCACUCGCAUGGAAUUUUCUUGUUCUAUUCUGCUUGCAUAUGGAUUACAAAUUUAUCUGAAACACUUUUUGCUAAUUCAUGGUUAUUCCUUUCAGUUGUUCCAAUUCCAAUCCGUCCCAUUCGACCGAGGAAAGCUGAGUAAAAGUUGCUGUGUUCGAGUGAACCAAUGGCUCGACUUGAGGACAAGUCGUUCUAAAGAAGGGGGGAUGAUACGACCCUGCCCUGGAAACAUUUCUUGGCUCAACUCACGAGCGAGGCUCGUUAUUCUCACAAGCUCGUCCCAGCUCAAUUUGGGCGGAUUCUAGCUUAUGGAGCUAGAAUGCAAUUUAUUAAGUUUGCAUUUAGAUGAUGGAAUAAAUAAGUUGCUGAUUAGUUAAUUAAAUAAGUUAAUUAAUUUGUUUAAAAAUUUGGACAUUUUUAUUUUAAUGUGUCUUAGUUUAUUACCUAUUAAAUAGAUGUCUAAUAGUUAAUUAAGUGUGUCUAAAUUUAAGACAAAUUUAAUUCAUGUUGUCAAUUAAUUUUUCCAGACGAAUUUAAUGUGCAGGAUAUUGUGUACUUUGGACGAAUUUAAUGCUGUUAAUUAAUGUGUUUUGCUGCUGUUGUUUAAUGCUGCUGUUGUUUAAAUGCAGAAUGUUAAACAUGUCAUGGUUCAGCCGAAUUAAUGUGUGAGAUUUAAGCUAAGUAAAUUUGUUGAAUUUGCUAGGACAAUGUACAUGGACGGCAAAGAAGAGGUGGACAACAUCAUGCAUAAUUUGUGGAACAAAUUAAGGAAGCAUUUGACCAACAUCAUGCAUAAUUCAUGGAAGAAUUUGAAGAAGCAUUUGACCAACAUCAUGCAUAAUUCAUGGAAGAAUUUGAGGAAGCAUUUGGCCAACAUCAUGCAUAAUUCAUGGAAGAAUUUGAGGAAGCAUUUGACCAACAUCAUGCAUAAUUCAUGGAAGAAUUUAAGGAAGCAUUUGGCCAACAUCAUGCAUAAUUUAAGGAACAAAUUGAGGAAGCACCAUGGCCGGAUUUGGCUUCCAAUUUUACCCAUUCGGCUACCCUUUUGUUUUGCCUAUAAAUAUGUGUUAAAUUUCAUUGUAAGGGGAGAAGAACCUUGAAUUAAUGUUUUUACAGUUUGUGAGAUUGUUUACAACUCUCAUUGUUCUCCAAAGACUCGUUUGACUUAUCAAGUAACCCUUGUGGCGUCAACCCAUUCUUCUUAUCCGAACUUAUCACUUUGCAUCCAAAGUGUGGCGUUCAAGUUAUACCGAGGUUCCUAUCAUCUUUGAUAGUGGGUCAAGGUUCCAUUUUAUUCGUUUUCCAUCCAUACAACAUUUAACCUUUCCUAAGUAUUCGUAUAAGUCCCGGGUUAACACACUUAUAUUGUGUUGGUUCAACUUGAAUACUUGGUUUUCAUUCACCUAUCAUCCUCAAUACACUUCAUAACCCCUUUUGAACUAAAUUUGAGCAUUUAUCCCUUCUUUCUUAACCUAUCUUCGACAAACCUUGAUAUUACUCCAAUUCACGAUCGGGUACAUCAACGACUCGACUCUCAUCACCGAGGCCGGGGCGUAUCAGUUAGAAUCCUUAAUAAGUAUAUUUUUAUAAGAAACAAACGAAAACAUCAUCCAAAUUCUUUACAAUGAGAUAAUUAAUUUUUAGUGAAGAGUGGUCGGAACUGUCAGACAGCGAAACAGGGGAAACUUUAAAGAAUAAACUGUACUAUUUGGCUGAACCAAAAAUUCUGAAACUUUUAUGAUAUGAAGAUAUGUGAGUCUAGUUUCAGGAAAAAUUAACGGAUCUUAAUCCAAAGCUCUGUAGCUCCGGAUAAAAAUAAUUUAGUGACUCUGACUCGGAUAAAUAGUUUUGAAUAUACAUGUUAGUGAAUACUGAAAUUAUGGUUAAUGUUGUUUAAGUGUGUUAUACACAUUAAGGAUGUGGAAUGGAGAGGAGGAGGAGGAAAAUUGGGAAAUAUAUGAAUGAUUCGUGUAUAAAUGGUCAUAUGUUUGAUUAUAACUGAUAAACGAUGAAAUAUGAAUGAUGCUUAUAUUUGUGCAUUAUUGGUCAUGUUUAAGCUCAUGUGUGAAAAUAAGGUUUCACAGUAUAUGUAUGGUAUAUUCAGUAUAUGAUUUGGCAUGAAAUAAUAUCAUGAAUGGUUUAUGAAUUAACACAUGUUGGUGAGCCUUAUAUAUGAAUAAAUGAUCAAAUUGAGCGGAACGCCGGAUUUGAGUACUUCUGAUCAAGUGACAAAGUGAUAAGUGAUAGCUUCGGCUAUACUUAUCUGAUCAAGUGACAAAGUGAUAAGUGAUAGCUUCAGCUACACUUAUCUGAUCAAGUGACAAGUGGAAAGUGAUAAGUGAUAGCUUCGGUUACACUUAUCUGAUCAAGUGACAAGUGAAAAGUGAUAAGUGAUAGCUUCGGUUACACUUAUCUGAUCAAGUGACAAGUGAAAAGUGAUAAGUGAUAGCUUCGGCUAUACUUAUCUGAUCAAGAGACAAAGUGAUAAGUGAUAGCUUUUGCUACACUUAUCUGAUCAAGAGACAAAGUGAUAAGUGGCUACACUUAUCUGAUCAAGAAACAAAGUGAUAAGUGGCUACACUUAUCUGAUCAGGGACAAGUGAUAAGUGAUCAUAUGUAAGACCAUAGUUAUACUAUGGCAAAGUGAAAGUGAAGUACUCAAUUUUCCGUAACCGUUCCCUAAUUUGAUUAAGGAUGGUAAGUGACAAAUGGGCCCAAAAGAAUUAAAGCAAUUGGAUAAGUGGUAGUGUAUUUAUACCAGGAUGAUGUUGUUAUUUAAGCUAAAGUGAUAUCUUCAUUGCAAAAUUGAGAAUUUCAUAAAUGUGUUAGUGAAUGGUAUAAUCGAUAAACGUUGAGUUAAAUGGUAAAUACGUAUUAGUGUUAAACUUAGUGACAUUGAAUUGUACGUGAAUUAAAUGGAAAUUGCUAGUGAUAUGAUCUAAAUUGUAAGCAUGAGAAAUUGCGAAUUGAAUGAAAUGGAAAUGAAGCAUUGAAUUGCAUGAGUAUGUGACGGGUCUCGUAGGCCCUAAUUAUUAUGAUUAUAAUAUUUCGAGGAUAUAUUGUGAAAAGUUAUAGAAGCAUGUUAAUUAUUUUGAAAGUUUUUAUUUAGAUGAAAUUUUAUAACUCGGUUAAAUACGCUUACAAGUGUAUGUGUUUUGGUGAUACCUCGUACCCUAUUCCGGUGUUGGAUACAGGUAAGGGGUGUUACAGUGCCAAUGAACCGUCAAACUCUACCAACAAUUAAAUUAAAAGAAGUAUAGUACCCAAAUUUGAUUUCUAUCACAACACACAAAAGCUGUGCGUAAAAAAUUAACUAAUCGACAAAGAAAAUUAUUCAACCUUGUGGUAGCCACUUCAAACAAAGACAAUUACCCAUAUUCCUUCCUAAUAUUUAAAUAAAAUGAUAAUACGCUUUAGUCACUUUACUCGCAAUAAUACUGAUAUUUAUUAAGUUAAGAAUAAAUUUUAAUUUUUUAGUAUAGAAAUAAAAUAUAAUUUGAUUUCUAGUAAAUUACAUUCUAAUACUUUCACCCAAAAUUUACCCAAACAGAUCCUUCGAGAUUGUCAUUAGGGACUCAAAGGGAAAGGUUUUGGCGUCGAGGAUUGUUCUAAACGAGAGGGUACCUUCGAUUUUUACAACAGAGACCCUUGCAUGUGUCCAAGGGCUUCAAUUGGGGUUGGAUUUAGAAAUCAUGAUUGUAGAGGUAGAAGGAGAUAUUUUAUCAGUUAUUAAAAAUGUACAAAAGAAAAGGGAUGAUAUAUCAGAGAUUUGUGCUCUCAUUAAAGACUGACAAUGGCUGAGUAAGGGAUUCCAGAUCUGCAAUUUCAAACAUGUUCAAAGAAUGAAGAACAAAGAACGAAGUUGGCUACAAAAGGUUUAGGAAAUGGGGAACAAAGAGAUAUGAAUAAAGGAGCCCUGAUUACGUAGAGGAGCUAGUGGAAAUAGAUCGACAAAGCAGUGUGCAAGUUUGAUAUGUGUGGUGUCGAUUUACAUUUUGGAAAGUUGAAGAAUGGAAAAAAUGAAAGAGGAUCUAGAAGAUGAAAAGUUUUUUUGAAGGAUUGAAAGGUGUGAUAAUUAAUGGAAGAAUUACUACAUUGUUUAAGAACAAACUGUAAAUGGAUUAUGAGUCUAUAUAUACUCAUAUUUCACAUUUCACAUAGUUUAAAAAAAUAAGGGAAAUGAGAUUUGGGGUCUAUAUAAAUACAUGUUCUGUAAAUCUUAUUUCAUAUUAAUAUGUGGUACCAAAAAAUAAAAAAAUUUCUUGGUGUUGCCACUUUUAGUGUUGGUAUAGCAAAAACCACUUUCACCUAAAAGCAUUUUCAACAUGUAUUGGUAAUUUAAUCUCUUGCAUAGGCCUAUUUUUUAUUUGUAUUUUUUUUAUUUGCCAAAUUAAAAGUGAUGUUUCAUUAUGUUUGUUAUAUGAGUCAUAAAUUAGAUGUGAUGUUUCACUAUGUUUUUAUAUUAGUCCAGAAAAUAGGCUUGUUUUUUUGUAAAAAAAGUAUAAAUCAAAAAGUAGGAGUCAAAAAGUCUUUUUAGAGGUUAAUAAUAAAUUUCAGUUAAUUUAUAUAUAAUAAUAAUAAUAAUAAUAAUAAUAAUAAAGGGCUAGUUUGGGGACCAGGAACAGCGUCCUGCAGAGCAAAUUAAUGAACAUUUUGGAUGCACUCUUAGAAUAUAAAACCAUGGACCCUCCCACAUGUCAUCCACUUUAUUUAGGUUGGUAUUCUAUUAGUAAAUUUUAUUUUUGGUUAUUCAGUUAUAAAAAGUUAUAAAAUUUUUACUUGAUUAUGUUUUUUGACCACCAACUAUUAAAUAGUUAACGGAAAAAAAUGACGUAACAAUUUUUAAAUUUGUUAUAAUAAUAACUUUAAUCUCAAUAUUUCUAUAUUGUUUUAAUUUAAUCUUUAUUUAAAAAAUUAAUCAUCAACAUUUAUACAUUAUGUAAUUUAGUUAGAUCAAGCUAAGUCAUGUAGAUAUCGUCCAAAAAAUAGUUAACACUUUUAAGCUCGACAUAUUUAGGGUUUUCAAGCUCUCAAAUCUGUUUCAGUCCAAGAUUCUGGGGAAUAAAUCAAUUAGUUAACUUGGAGUAGACACAUAUUCAAUUCAAUAGACAAUUCUCAACUAAUUCCUAAAUGAAAUGAUGUUUAAUAUCAAUAUGUUUGAUUCUUAAGUAGCAUUUUUUUUAAAGGAAAAGUCAUUACUUUAUACCUUAAUUUAAAGUGAUGUUUUUCUUUGACGUGAUGAUGAUUUGUAGAUGAAAAUUUGACUUAUAAGCAUAAAUUACUUUUAUCUAUUUAUUUAAUAUUUCACUAUCCAUUUUUUUUAUUCUUUUGAUUAUCUUAAAAAUGUUAUUUUAUUAUUUUAGAUUAAUCUAUUUUUAUUAUAAAUUAGAUCAAUCAUCUUUUAAUCUAGGAAUAUAUUUUUAUAAACUGUAAACAUAAUAUUUAAUAAAUAAAAAAAUAAACAUAUAAGAUCACAAUCAUCGUAACAUUUGGAAUCAAUUUAUUAUAAAUAGAGUAAAUGGUUAUUGGAGAAUUGAUUGACUUAAUUUUUUAACAUUCAUUAUUUUAAUCGAAACUUAAAUUGAAGGGACGAAAUCAAAUUAACAUACUAGAACAACCCCUAAUAAAUCAACUUCAACAAGAAAACGAAAUGUAAAGAAGUGAUCUAUGAUUUCAACCAUUGAACAAAGUUCUUGAAUACCUUAUCAGAACUUCCACCAUCACCUACACUUUUGGUAACCAUUUGCUUCAGUUCAAUAGCUCUUGUUUUGAACUUUUCAUCACCAACCAAUUGUUCCACUUUGCUUUUAAUUUCUUCUUUUCUAAUGAUACCUCCUUCAUCCUUUUGGAGUUUUAAUCCAAGCUUCCAAAUAUCAGAAAUGUAGCUUUCAUUCAGGAACUGAUCAGCAAAGUAAGGCCAACACAAGAAAGGCACCCCAUUGCUUACACCUUCCAUGGUGGAAUUCCACCCACAGUGACUUAUAAAGCAUGCAAUGGAAGAAUGACCCAAAACUGCUGCUUGUGGUGCCCAACUUACUAUCCUACAUUGAUUGCCAACUCUUUCAUUAAACCCUUUAGGGUAGUUAUGGUGUUUUCCUUUUGUAAUAUCUUCUCUUACAACCCAAAGGAAUGGUCUUUCGGUGAUUUCAAGGCCCAAAGCUAACUCUUGAAACUGAAUUUGGUCAAAAACUGUGAAACUACCAAAUGCGACAUAUAUGACUGAACCAGGUGACUGUUGAUCGAGCCACUGCAAACAAGUUGGAUCCUCGAGCCAAAAAUUUCCCGACAAGUUUCCGAGCCGAUUGGUGGCUAAAAAUGGGCCUAUGGGUAAGGCUCUGGGAACUAAGUUGAACCCUUGAAGCUCUAAUUCCAAACUUGAGUUGCAAAGUACCCAAUCUGUUGUUUCAACAACUUUGUUGUUCCUAAGUAGAAAAUCAAA